AAGCUUCAAGCGCUGGAGGGGAGAGCGCGCGUCUAUGGAAAGGCUCAUUCUGUAUGAUUGAUUGUUUAAUAAGGCUAAUGAGGAGUUGACAAAGGACAUUAAGAGCUCGAAGUCUCCUGGGCAGUAAUGGGAAUCCAGCGGCUGUCAGCGUAAAGACCCGAAGUAGGACGUGCUGUCAGCUCGACACUUCAGGAAGUUGAGAGGCCAAUAACACAACAAUAAAGAUAUCCACACAGUAGGUGCUUGUCUGUGUUAGCAGAACACGUGUCUGGCUCCAAGGCAACAGUCAGCACCUCACAGAGGACUCGGGGGAGUGAGGUGAAGAUUUAUUUUGGAAAUCAUAUCUAAACUGCCAUCUUAGGACGCCAUCUUGUUUCUGUCCUCUAUAGGUGAAUAAGAGUCUCGGGCCAGUGCAACAUCUCAGAUUGCAUAGAAGACACAAUAAAUCAAAUGGGUGGUGGAUUUUGGCAGAGAGAAAACUGUCAUUCAUGAAGCUGAUGGAGAUAGUGUGCACACUGUACAUACAGUGCAGUGUCCUCCUUAAGGAAUUUGCCUGUCCAUCAAUCCAGGUGCCCUUCUUCAUGGAUGCUGAGAGUUUGAAUGUCAACCUCAAAAUAUCUGUGAGGUUAUUUUCACACCUAGGAUCUCCAUCACCCUCUACUGGUAAAUGUGGAAGCAGUUGAGCUGAUGUGGUUCUAUACAUCCAGGCUCUAUCUGUGCAAUUGACGCCAAUAAAUAUGUCUUGCUGCCUAGUUGCCAAAAUUGUAGUCCUACACUAUUUCAUUUGGCUCCCCUCCCCACACUGGAUAUGUAUCAACAUUCUGUUCCCAAAUGGGAUAUUUAUCAUGGUUUAUGAUUAUUAUAUUUCCACAAAGGAUAUCAACCAUCAUUUUCAUUCCAAACGGCAUAUUUCAACCGAGCAUUCUUCACAAACUGUAUAUUUUUUCAUGAUUUUAAUCACACUGUAUAUUCACCCUGUACCCUCCUCCCACACUGUAUAUUCACCCUGUACCCUCCUCCCACACUGCAUAUUCACCCUGUACCCUCCUCCCACACUGCAUAUUCACCCUGUACCCUCCUCCCACACUGCAUAUUCACCCUGUACCCUCCUCCCACACUGCAUAUUCACCCUGUACCCUCCUCCCACACUGCAUAUUUUACCACAAUUCGGUUCCCAAACAGGAUGCUUAUCACGAUUGUCAUGAUUUUCCCUGAUUUAUCAUAACUCACCAUGAUUCCAUUUUAAGUGUAUCUGCCAUGAUUAUAAUCUCACUCUGUGUAUUUCAAUAGCCUUAUUCCAAAUCAUCUUAUUUA